ACUCCUACGGGAGGCAGCAGUCGAGAAUAGUCUACAAUGGUCGGAAGACUGAUAGUGCGACGCCGCGUGAACGAUGAAUCCCUUCGGGGUGUAAAGUUCUUUUAUAUGUGAGCAGUGCUUCUUAUAUUAACAGUAUGGGGAGAGAGAUAUUAGCAUAUGAAUAAGCAACGGCUAACUCCGUGCCAGCAGCCGCGGUAACACGGGGGUUGCGAGCGUUGUCCGGAAUUACUAGGCGUAAAGGGCAGGCAGGCGGAUCCAUAAGUUUAUCGUUUAAGGCGUCGGCUUAACCGGCGUAGGGCGGUAGAUACUGUGGAUCUGGAAUGCGGUUGGGGAAGACAGAAUUCCUGGUGUAGCGGUGGAAUGCGCAGAGAUCAGGAGGAAUACCGAAGGCGAAGGCAGUCUUCCAAGCCGUUAUUGACGCUCAACUGCGAAGGUGUGGGUAUCAAACAGGAUUAGAUACCCUGGUAGUC
rnacentral:rRNA from 1 species